GGCUGCAGUGAGCACUUAUUGUGCCACUGUACUCCAACCUGAGAGUUGUUUUUUUUUUUUUUUUUUUUUUUUAAUAGUUUUGCUAGAUAACUCUCCAUUCCCACCCUCCCAAUAUGUCUGACACCACAGACUAUACUCAUUCCUUUGCUAUUUGCAAGUUUAUAGUAGCCUACCGCAACUGCCUCAUCCACAGAUAGAAUUUUCUUCAUUGUCUUUUGGAAUGCAUUUAACCAGUAAGCUUCUUUUAACCGAUAAAAACAUCUAGAUUUUGUAUUUUGCAUAACAUUGAUAUUCCUUUAUAGUUCAUAUUGGAUGAAAUGUCUUGAACACAAGCAAGUUAUCUUUUUUUUUUUCCAUUCUGUAUGCCAGACUUUUAAAGAAAGAAUCUGCGUUGAGUUCAACUUUGGCUGCUUGCUCUUUUGCUGUGAGUAGCAGUUUUCAAUCAAGUUUCCAGUGGCAGCACCAGUGGGGAAAGUCUGCAUUUUUUUAGGAUGACCGUGACCGACCUCACUCCUAGAGCUAUUGGAUUCCAGCCUGUUUUGGGGGAGUUUAUUAUUUUGGUUAUUACUUAAAGCACUUAAGUCUUCUGAAUCUCACUGAGUUUUUUGUUUUGACUUUUCAAAUGUUCUUCACAACUCUUUUGUAGGAAAUUUAAAAUGUUAUACCCAGAACUGUACAAGUACUUUACUAGUGAGGUUAAACUAAAUGUAACAAUGCAACAACAGAUCAAAAGCACACUAAGAUUUCACUUGUGUCAGUUUUGAAAACUCUAGACCUCUUACAGCAGCCACAGACUUGUUUCCUUUCAUGCAGUUCCCCUUAAAAAGCAAUUUACAGUUGUUUUUUUUUUCAAUCCUCCGUAGAUUCUGCUUAAUUCAGAAGAAAUUGCAUGCAAUCCCUGGCAUUGUUCCAGAAGUUAAUUUGUGAAUGAAUGAAAGCCAUGAUCUUUGCCUUGAUAAAAAAUUACCUAUACACUUGGAGAUGCCUGUGUGUCCCCUUCCCAGAGCUAACCACUCUUCUGGAUUUGGUGUUUACCAUUCUCAUCAUGCUAUUAUACUAUUACUGCAUAUGUUAAUAAACAGCAUAUAGCAUAAUUUGGCUCAUUUUAAAAUGUGGUAUCAUCCUAUGAAUAGUAUUACCCACUUGUAUUAUAUCUCACUAUUAUGCUCUUUAAAAUGUUUAUUGCCUUUAAAAAAAAAAAUAGCCUAAAUCCUAAAAGAAGCAGAAGUCUCCAGAGAGAAAAGAGAAGUAAAUGACGGUAAAUGUAAUCAUCUUGUAUGCCUCCAUUACUCUGUGAAACUCACAGCUAGCGAGGUGCCUGCCUUCUGCAAGUUGCUGACUCCUGCCAUCUCCUGCAGGUAGGCAGUUUGGGAGCCUGCCCCACCUGCUGCAGACAUCUCAGACUUGUUCUAUGGCUUAUGGCCAUGAAGACCCAACCAUAGCCUUCGUGAUAUUCUCCACUCCUGAUCUUCCAGCUUAAUAUCUGGACUAACAAGAAACUUAGGACUCUGACCAGAUAUACAAUUAACAUGUUUUGGAAGAAGCAGAGUAAUGCCCAGCCAACUCUUCCUCAACAUGGGGCAUAAACAUUCAUUCA